rnacentral:lncRNA from 1 species
UCGGAUUGCUUCAACAUACAUACUGAGUUAACAAUAGAAUGAUCAGGCCAGUAGGUUGCAGCCACAACUGUAUUCCAGGUGAAGGAAAAUAGAAUUUCUUGGUUUAUAUUUGAGUGGUGAAAAAGAAAUAUACCACUUUUUACCUGCAUCUUAUCAUCUUAGUAUUGGUAUACACUGCAGUUUAAGUACAAAGGAUAAAAUUUUUGUGGUAGGAAGUGACAAAUGAUAUACCAAAUGUUGUCCUUUCUAGCUGCUCUACAGUAACAAAUGAACACUUACUUCAGAGUGUAUUUAUACCAACUGGUUGUGACUUAAGUAAAAUGGCUUCUGUUUAUCUUUAAAAGCAGUGAAUUUGGUCCAUACAGCUCUAUAUAUUACCUCUAUACACUAGAUCGUUUACACCAUUCUAAAGAGCAAUGUGAAGCCACUUAUCAAUCAUAGGAAAAACUUCACGAGAAUCAGAUAAGUUUGUAAAUUCAAACUUCUCUAUAGUGAUUUUAUCCUAUGUCUCUCCAUGAUUUUAUCCAUAUAUUAUAACAUCUAACCCCUUUCAACUCUGCCACAAAAAACUAAAACACCAUCACACUGAUCUGGUAGUAGAGGUCCGCUAAAAAUAUGCUUUUAUACAUAAUUUUGAUAGUCAGGUCCCCUCCUAAACCC